rnacentral:rRNA from 1 species
GAUGAACGCUGGCGGCGUGCCUAAUACAUGCAAGUCGAGCGAACAGACGAGGAGCUUGCUCCUCUGACGUUAGCGGCGGACGGGUGAGUAACACGUGGAUAACCUACCUAUAAGACUGGGAUAACUUCGGGAAACCGGAGCUAAUACCGGAUAAUAUAUUGAACCGCAUGGUUCAAUAGUGAAAGACGGUUUUGCUGUCACUUAUAGAUGGAUCCGCGCCGCAUUAGCUAGUUGGUAAGGUAACGGCUUACCAAGGCAACGAUGCGUAGCCGACCUGAGAGGGGGAUCGGCCACACUGGAACUUAAGCACGGGCCAGGCUCCCACGGGGGGCAGCAGGAGGGGAUCUUUCGGAAAGGGGGGAAACCUUACGGGAGAACCGCGGGGGGAGUGAGAAAGGCCUCGGAACGGAAAAUUCUUGUUAUAGGGGAAAACAAAAGGUGUAGGAACCAAUCACGGUUUUGCGGGUCCUAAACAGAAAAGCCCGGCUUAAUUCGUU